GGUGGAUGAUGUGGUUUAAUUCGAUGCAACGCGAAAAACCUUACCCACCUUUGACAUGUACGGAAGUCGCUAGAGAUAGCUUCGUGCUCGAAAGAGAGCCGUAACACAGGUCAUGCAUGUCUGUCGUCAGCUCGUGUCGUGAGAUGUUGGGUUAAGUCCCGCAACGAGCGCAACCCUUGUCAUUAGUUGCUACAUUCAGUUGGGCUCUGUAAUGAGACUGCCGGAGACAAACCGGAGGAAGGUGGGGAUGACGUCAAGUCCUCAUGGCCCUUAUAGGUGGGGCUACACACGUCAUACAAUGGGUGGUACAAAGGGUUGCCAACCCGCGAGGGGGAGCUAAUCCCAUAAAACCAGUCGUAGUCCGGAUCGCAGUCUGCAACUCGUCUGCGUGAAGUCGGAAUCGCUAGUAAUCGUGGAUCAGAAUGUCACGGUGAAUACGUUCCCGGGUCUUGUACACACCGCCCGUCACACCAUGGGAGCGGGUCUCGCCAGAAGUAGUUAGCCUAACCGCAAGGAGGGCGAUUUCCACGGCGGGGGGGGUGACUGGGGUGAAGUCGUAACAAGGUAACCAAGGGCGAAUUCUGCAGAUAUCCAUCACACUGGCGGCCGCUCGAGCAUGCAUCUAGAGG
rnacentral:rRNA from 1 species